GUUAACGCCCUGCCCCCCGCUGUUCUGGAAUUUUCUCACAACAGUCGAUUGAAAUAACUGUCACCGGAGUUCGCGGCGCGCUCGAUCCGUUUUGGCCUGGGCUUCUUCGUUGUGUAUUCAAGGUCUGUUUAAAUGGACAGCUUUGUCACUGACAAGUUAACUGAGUGGCGGCUGUUUGAGCUGACAGAGACAUUUUUGAGGCCAUCUACAGGGUUGAGAAGAAGACUAUCCGGCAUUCCACUGAAGAGUCCCUGACAGCGUUCAUACACCAAAUGUCUGUUGGAACAAAUAUGGUGGAAUACAGUGGCGGCUCGUGACUGCUCAUCAGAGGAUGCGCUAAUUCAAAAUAAGUGUUCAGAUUGUCACGUGUGUGGUUCCCUUUUCCAAAAUAUGUGUCCUGCGUGUCGAGAGAUCCUGUGUG